CCUACGGGAGGCAGCAGUGAGGAAUAUUGGUCAAUGGACGAGAGUCUGAACCAGCCAAGUAGCGUGAAGGAUAACUGCCCUAUGGGUUGUAAACUUCUUUUAUAUGGGAAUAAAAUGUUCCACGUGUGGGAUUUUGUAUGUACCAUAUGAAUAAGGAUCGGCUAACUCCGUGCCAGCAGCCGCGGGAAUACGGAGGAUCCGAGCGUUAGCCGGAUUUAUUGGGUUUAAAGGGAGCGUAGGUGGAUUGUUAAGUCAGUUGUGAAAGUUUGCGGCUCAACCGUAAAAUUGCAGUUGAAACUGGCAGUCUUGAGUACAGUAGAGGUGGGCGGAAUUCGUGGUGUAGCGGUGAAAUGCUUAGAUAUCACGAAGAACUCCGAUUGCGAAGGCAGUUCACUGGACUGCAACUGACACUGAGGCUCGAAAGUGUGGGUAUCAAACAGGAUUAGAUACCCUUGUAGUC
rnacentral:rRNA from 1 species